rnacentral:rRNA from 1 species
CCUACGGGUGGCAGCAGUGGGGAAUAUUUCACAAUGGGGGAAACCCUGAUGCAGCGACGCCGCGUGAGUGAAGAAGUAUUUCGGUAUGUAAAGCUCUAUCAGCAGGGAAGAAAUAAAGUCCUUCGGACUUUGGACGGUACCUGACUAAGAAGCACCGGCUAACUCCGUUCCAGCAGCCGCGGUAAUACGUAGGGGGCAAGCGUUAUCCGGAUUUACUGGGUGUAAAGGGAGCGUAGACGGCAGAGCAAGUCUGGAGUGAAAUCCCAUGGCUUAACCAUGGAACUGCCGUUGAAACUGCAUCCCUUGAGUGCGCGAGAAGUAUGCGGAAUGCGGGGUGUAGCGGUGAAAUGCAUAGAUAUCACGCAGAACGCCGAUUGCGAAGGCAGCAUACCGGCGCGCAACUGACGCUCAUGCACGAAAGCGUGGGUAUCGAACAGGAUUAGAUACCCGUGUAGUC